rnacentral:tRNA from 1 species
CUCUCAAUAGCUCAGCUGGAAGAGCGCAAGACUGUAAAUCUUGAGGCCCGCGGUGUGAGUAGAUACUCCAGCGUUUCCUUGCGUUCAGUGACUAACAUCUCUCUAGUCGAUCCCGCGUUGGGAGA